GCAGCUAGGCUGGCCCCCCAGCUCUUCUCUCAAGUCCAGCUCCCCGAUGGUCCUCUCUAACCAUGUCCAAACCAGGAAAUCUCUCUAAUCCCUAAAAUGCAAGGCUCAAAAACGUCUUCUUUACCGUUUUCCUCCAGGGACUCUCUAAGCCCUGGGGUUCUAUUUCUAAAAUUAAUUCUUUCAGUAAGCACUUAACGUGACAGACCUCAUGCUUGGCACGGAGGAUAGAAAGAUGAAUAUGACUGCAGGAGACAGACAAGGUAACAGAAAUCACAGCACAGUGCUUGUGUAAUACGGACAGAGACAGGGAACACGGAUAAGGGGGCCUAAAUCAGAAGGGGUCUGUCUGACCCAACUUCCAGUUUACAGAAAAUGUGAAGAGACAAAGUAAGAAGUUAAACACCACAAUAUGACAAAAGUCAAAAUGUGGGAUGGGACCCUCUAAAAAAUACCUGGCCUGAACUCUUCAAAAAGAACAAUGCCAACAUUGAAGCCCUCGGUUGGAGUCUGCACAGUUGGAGAUCUUUGGUGCCAUUUUAGACAUCUUUGGAUUUCAUCAAUCAAACUGACUGCAAUUUUCCAUAAAAACCCUGAAUUUGGGUCAGAAAGUGGGCAAAGCAGAUAAAGAUCAUUCGAGCUGUCUUAUAAGAUGAUAAAUAGAUAUCCUUUCAGGCCAACAAUGCCAAAGUGCAGUUUUGUGAUUCUCUUCCAUGGGUUCUGAAUGCAGUGAGUCGAAACGAUUUAUACAUGUUUUCCCAUGGUUUAGGAGGCGUCUUUACAUACUUGUCAAUAGUAGCCUGACCUUCUUCCCUCCUGAGUUGCUAAGUGUGUUGCUUUGGAUGUUAUUUUUUCUUGUGUGUGUGUAUGUUUCCCCUAAAACACACAAGAAAAGAAGGUAUUGUUUUUCUUUUAUUGCUUAAAUCAAUAGAAUAUGACUCUGAUUUAGAUAAUUCUCUGCAAAUAGACUGGCUCCAAGAAGCCCAUGAGUUGGUAUGGAAAUUCCCUUUGCUCAGGGGUUGCUCAUGAGGCACUUUAGACACCAAGUUGAGAUAUAAACUCAUUUUCCUAACAACACCCACUGGCACUGUGUCCUUCCUAUUUUUGAACUUGACAAAUGGCCUUUUGUAUCAGGUGAAUAAAAAGAAACUCUAAAGAAACAGUAGAAAGAAACCCCAAAAGGGUAUUUAACCCACUACCUCCAGAGACCUUUCAAGAUGUUUGCUGAAAUAAUUUCUAAGUGAAUAAAAGCAUUCUACAUUUUCCUCUUCAUUAUU